rnacentral:tRNA from 7 species
GGGGCUGUGGCUCAGUUGGAUAGAGCGAGCGCCUCCUAAGUGCUAGGUCAUGGGUUCAAGUCCCAUCAGCCCCG